UACGAAGGGGGCUAGCGUUGCUCGGAAUUACUGGGCGUAAAGCGCACGUAGGCGGCUUCUUAAGUCGAUGGUGAAAUCCUGGAGCUCAACUCCAGAACUGCCUUCGAUACUGGGGAGCUAGAGUCCGGGAGAGGUGAGUGGAACUGCGAGUGUAGAGGUGAAAUUCGUAGAUAUUCGCAAGAACACCAGUGGCGAAGGCGGCUCACUGGCCCGGUACUGACGCUGAGGUGCGAAAGCGUGGGGAGCAAACAGG
rnacentral:rRNA from 1 species